AGAAUAUAAUACAAAAAAGUCACAUGCCAGCAAAAAAUGCCACUCAAUUGAGUUUAUUGCAAAAUGUGCCCACUUGUUCACAGGUCAUACAUUAAAAAUUUAAAUAAAAAUAAAUACCCCACUAUUCAUGGGAAAGUGCAAGGCAUGUCAGCUUUGGUUUUGUAUAUAAUGUCCAUCCGUCAGACACCUGCCUUCCAGAAACUAGAGUCCAGGUGGGGGUAUUGCACCAAGCAGGAUUACUCCGUUAGCCAGGUAACUUCUAAUAUAAAAUAGCAUGACAUUUACAGUGGUCCACAGAAUUACCCUCUAUAUCGCCAGAUCAACUUUAAAUAAAAUUGUAUGCUGUUACAAUAUUAACCUUUGGUGGCAAUAGAACAGCAAGCCAACCUCAUCCUAGCCAGACCUUCAUUUGAAUGAUUCUGGCUAAGCUAUUCAUAGUAUUGGAUUGAUUGCAGACACCUUAGUCAGCAAACACAGGUGAUUGUAAUCAAAUAGUAGGUGAUUAUUAUGAAAUUGCCUUGCGCCAUAUUGUAUGGGCGGCAAAAUAAAUCAUGAGAACAGUAUGACUAGGUCAGCUAACGUUAGCUAAUGUUUGCUUUAUGUCAGCAAACCUGACGUUAGCUGGUUUUUGAUAGAAUAUAAUUGUUGUCAGACGAAUUAACGCUACAGACUUUAUUUAAUUAGACUAACGUUAACGUUCACUGAAUUAAAUCACUUGCCUGUAUGCAACAUCACAAUGUGGCUAACUUAUCUAAACUUUGCUAAAUUGGCUAGCAAAGUCAAUGUUAAUACACUCAACUUCAUAUGUGUUCUUAGAUUUGAACAUCUUUGCAGUAGAGAGUGUAUAUACUCUCGGCUUGCAUAGCUCACAAGUAAAAACUUACGUUUUGUCGGUGGAGCUAGUCAGUGUCAUGUAUUUGCUUAAGUAUGGCCAUGGUGAUUCUUCCUCAGGCUGAGAUUUGGGAGGUUUAUCCAUGAUGGCGCUGUCGCUGUGUGAGCACUGAGCAACGCCCGUCCUUUUGUACAUGCACUACACAAAGGUCAAGUAUGUGGUGGUGGCUGCCUAAUGAAUGCAUUGUCUGGGCAUGCCUUCACAGCGGUCAGGAUGAAAGAAAAAGGGGGCGGGGCUGGUCAAAGGCAGUUCAAUUACAGUAGAAAAGCAAUGGUAAAAUAAAAUUUAAAAAAGCAUUCCUUUCCUUUUAUGGCCCAAAAUUGUUUGUAGUUUCAAUAGUUAACUACACAAAUAAUGGCAAAAAAAAGUAAUUUAACUACUUGAGAUCACUAUAUGCAAAUAUGAAUGUAGUUGAACUACCAGCACACUACUGCAAAAUGUAGUUAAACUACUAGUUUAAUUACAUGUAGUUCACUACUCCCCAACACUGGGGAGCGGGUCCUCUUCCACAGAGGCCACCAUGUUGCACCGCCAUGUUUCUACAGUAGCCCAAAAUGGACAAACGGCUCUAGAGGGGGCCCGGGUUUCUCUUCAUCAGGCACAAAUCUUCCGUCUCACGCUUACCAGGUGUGAGACGAGGGGUGUGUGGGGUGUGAUUGGAGCAGGUGUCUCUCUUUUCUAUUCUCCUUUUCUCUCUCUGUCUCCCGCUCCUCUGAAGGUCUGGUGGAAAAGCGCAGUACCAGUGGCUUGACCACCGCUGUGUUUGACCAGCGGACCAGGCCGGACCCGACAGCGUUUGGGGGGGAAACAGGUACCAGUGGCGUGACCGCGACCUGCCGAACCCCCCCACUGACAGAAGAAAGAAUGACUAAACUAGAUCUCGGUGUGGUGUGUUGUCGCAAGAACACAUGGAAAUGGAAGAAAACGAUCGGCAGCAGAAGGCGGCAUAUACUCAGACAAGUGCUGGUAACGUUUGCGGAAACACCGCUUAAAAAACGAAAAUAAUCUGGACAAGACGGGGACGACAUGGUCUGUCUCUCCUUUUGACAAACGUCAUUAUGUCUAGUUUUUUAAAAUUUUUAGUAUUUUACCCCAGAACAAGUGCAGGAGCAACAGCAAUCAUCUGUUUGCCUAUCUGAGCUUAUCUUUCGGUAUUGCGCAUUUGUAAAAAUUAGCAGCACACUUGGAAAUCAAAAGACCUAGUUUUUUAUUAUUAUUUUUUAAAGUUCCGCAAUAGAUCAAUUGUACAAUAAAAUUGUUGUGUUCCUUUCUAUUUUGGUGUGGUAGAAAGAUCACAAUCUGCAACUCCAUCCAACAAUAUUCAUGUGAAAACUAACAAAUUGUCAUUACUUGUGGAUGUCGGUUCUAUUAAGAUGUAAUACAAUGUGUGACCAGUGUGACAAAGUAUACAUAGUAUGGUAGUAGAAUCCAGGCCCUGCAAUCCUGGACUUUUUUUUUUUUUUUGCUGUUUACAAUUUGAUUUCUUAGUGUAUAUUUUUGCAUAUUUCAGACAGCUUCCAUUCAGUGUCAGUGGCUUCAUGCUAUGUGCUAACUUUCUCUAACUUAACUCACUUUUUUGUUUGUAAAAUAGAUGGGUCAAAAAAAACUGGAAAUAUACUCUUUAAGAAUCACCAUCCUGCAUCCAGUAUAAAAAUCCACCUCUCUCCCUGACAGCGUGGUUAUGCUGUGUGUACUGGACUGAACAUUCAGUGCUGUGUGUCUGAAUCGCCCCCGUGCAGGACUGUAUGAUGUCAUACAGAGGGACCGCAGGAGUUCCGCUGCUGGAUGUGUUAUGGUGGGAGGAAGCAGGGUGUUGACAGCCUCUCCUGAGGUGAGGUCACAGGGGUCAUAGGGUCACCAACACACCUCCACUGCCUGAUCGCGGCUUCCUGUUAGGGGGAGGAACACCGUUCCGCCACACAUAUCCCUUCCCCAGGGAAACACGAGCUCUCUGUCUCACGCACACACAUACACACAGACACAAAGACACACACAAAAACACAAUAUAUCCCCAGGUCCACAUAGAUAUGCUUUUGCUGUGAUUGGUGUGGGAGGACUUGACUGGCUUGCACAGAGCCCUGACCUCGACCCCGUCCCACACAUUUGGGAUGAAUUGGAAAUAUAUCAACUGCAGAGGUCUUCCUUGACUUGCCAGGCCCUGUGCGAUGGCUGAGCUAGUGUUUGUCUGCGGCAGGACUCCUCUGAGAAAGACCUCGGCCUCAGUAGGACCACCCUGCAUAAACAAGGGUUAAAUAAAAAACAGAGCUCCUUUCUUCUUAAUGAUGUUCCAAAUAGUUGAUUUUGGUUAGGCUAUGAUUUGGCCUCUGUCUUUGACUUUUUUCUAAUUUCUCAGACUCAUAAUGGCUUCCUUGACUUUCAUUGCCACAGCUCUGGUCAAAAGAUACUGAAUACUGAAAGCUCUCUUAUGCCCUAAGGAAGCAAUUGAACGCACCUGACUCUUCAGGAAAAACCUGUGAAGCUACUUGUCUCAAACCUUAUGGUGCUCUGAAAUGGAGGGCUAUAUAUAAAAAGUGCUGUAUUUUCCAACCAAACCAGAAUGUAUAAAAAAAUAUCCUUUAAUAAAUGCUGAGAAUUGGCACAGCACAUGUGAAUUGUUUGAUUACACACAUAAAAUUGUGGAGCACAGAGCCAAAUUAAGAAAAAAAUAUGUCUUUGUCUUAAACAUUAUAGAGCUCACUCUAUAAUAUCUAAUAUUCUUGUUCUUUAUUUUCUCUGACCAAAGUUGAUAAUCUUUCAAAGGAGAAUUUUACCCAUUUUCUGUUUGUAGCAUGAAUGCAAUGGUGUAUACAUAUUUCUUGCAGAUAUGUGACAUAUUAAAGCUAAAAUGAAUGAAAAGA